CGAUGCCAAACGCCGCUAGAGGCGCUGGCUGUCCUAUUAUUGGUGUGCUAAAAAACCUGACCGAAAAAUGUACCGUUUCUACUACGGGGUCUCAUGAAUAUUCAGGAAGUCAAAACGUGGUCACGUGGCACUUUUCCGGAACCUGGUGAGCUGAAGUUAGCGGACUGCCAUAGCAGCUUAUAUUUACUAUGGAAGAAGAGUAUUCACAACCAUUAUUCAUAACAGAUUCUGAGGAGAGUGAAAAAGAAAUUGGAGAAAGUGAAUCUCAAGCACAGACGCAAGCUCCAAGAUUCAUGCCACUUUUCACUCCACGCUUUAGUUCUGAGAAUACAGAUUCUGAUGACCAAAGUUUAAAAAUUCCAGAAAAGGUUGCAAGAUUGGACACACAGUUAACCUUUUCUGCAUCAACAUCAGAAUUUGAUUCAAGCCCGAAAAUAUUACGGAAAAAAGUAAAGAAACCAAAACGUGACCAGAAC